GUUGUAUGGUUAAGUGACUAAGCGUACACGGUGGAUGCCUGGGCAGUCAGAGGCGAUGAAGGACGUACUAACUUGCGAUAAGCGCAGAUAAGGCAGUAAGAGCCGUUUGAGUCUGCGAUUUCCGAAUGGGGAAACCCAACUGCAUAAGCAGUUACUGUUAACUGAAUACAUAGGUUAACAGAGCAAACCGGGGGAACUGAAACAUCUAAGUACCCCGAGGAGAAGAAAUCAACCGAGAUUCCGGUAGUAGCGGCGAGCGAACCUGGAUUAGCCCUUAAGCACUCGGUGAAGUAGGUGAACAAGCUGGAAAGCUUGGCGAUACAGGGUGAUAGCCCCGUAACCGACGCUUCAUCGAGCGUGAAAUCGAGUAGGGCGGGACACGUGAUAUCCUGUCUGAAUAUGGGGGGACCAUCCUCCAAGGCUAAAUACUCCUGACUGACCGAUAGUGAACCAGUACCGUGAGGGAAAGGCGAAAAGAACCCCUGUGAGGGGAGUGAAAUAGAACCUGAAACCGUGUACGUACAAGCAGUAGGAGCACCUUCGUGGUGUGACUGCGUACCUUUUGUAUAAUGGGUCAGCGACUUAUAUUCAGUGGCAAGGUUAACCGUAUAGGGGAGCCGUAGCGAAAGCGAGUCUUAACUGGGCGCUCAGUCUCUGGAUAUAGACCCGAAACCGGGUGAUCUAGCCAUGGGCAGGUUGAAGGUUGAGUAACAUCAACUGGAGGACCGAACCGACUAAUGUUGAAAAAUUAGCGGAUGACUUGUGGCUAGGGGUGAAAGGCCAAUCAAACUCGGAGAUAGCUGGUUCUCCCCGAAAGCUAUUUAGGUAGCGCCUCGGACGAAUACUACUGGGGGUAGAGCACUGUUAAGGCUAGGGGGUCAUCCCGACUUACCAACCCUUUGCAAACUCCGAAUACCAGUAAGUACUAUCCGGGAGACACACGGCGGGUGCUAACGUCCGUCGUGGAGAGGGAAACAACCCAGACCGCCAGCUAAGGUCCCAAAGUAUUGCUAAGUGGGAAACGAUGUGGGAAGGCUCAGACAGCUAGGAUGUUGGCUUAGAAGCAGCCAUCAUUUAAAGAAAGCGUAAUAGCUCACUAGUCGAGUCGGCCUGCGCGGAAGAUGUAACGGGGCUAAGCAAUACACCGAAGCUGCGGCAAUGUCUUUUAGAUAUUGGGUAGGGGAGCGUUCUGUAAGCCGUUGAAGGUGAAUCGUAAGGUUUGCUGGAGGUAUCAGAAGUGCGAAUGCUGACAUGAGUAACGACAAAGGGGGUGAAAAACCUCCUCGCCGGAAGACCAAGGGUUCCUGUCCAACGUUAAUCGGGGCAGGGUGAGUCGACCCCUAAGGUGAGGCCGAAAGGCGUAAUCGAUGGGAAACGGGUUAAUAUUCCCGUACUUCUGACUAUUGCGAUGGGGGGACGGAGAAGGCUAGGUGGGCCAGGCGACGGUUGUCCUGGUUCAAGUGCGUAGGCUUGAGAGUUAGGUAAAUCCGGCUCUCU
rnacentral:rRNA from 1 species